GACAGACCGUCAAGCAGACAGACACAGAGAUCAAAGGAGAGAGGACCAGGUGGCGGUGAUCAAACCAACAACAAUACAAACAAAAACAACAACAUCGGAGGUUGAACUGUUGAACCCAUUUUAGCGCCACUUCUCCGGACUUUGUGCAGCUACAGCACGUCUUCUUCAGUGAUUCUCGAGACGCCAUUGAAGGAUCGACAGCCGGACCGCUGGGAACAUGACGUCUCUUCUUGAGACAUUGUUAUCCAACUUGGUUGUGGACUUGGAUGGGAACAACUUUCUGACCUUAAUGACACCCAGGAAAACGGUGAGAUUCUAAUCCAUUUAAAUGCCAAAAGCAAGCAGUUUUUGUUUUUAAAGAUGUUUAUUUUAUUCGUGUUGGAGAGGGAGAAGCGCCCCAGUGGAGCGAGAGGGGAUGAUCUGCAGCAAAGGGACCACCGGAAAUCAAACCUUGGCCGCUACGAUAACAACAUGUGGCACGUGUGAUUACGACUACCAGCAUGGACCUCAUCACCUUCUUUGUUGUUCUUCUAGUCUACCCCAUGAAUGGAUACAAGUUUUGUCAAGGAUACACAGUGAAUCAUGUCAGCCCACAGUGGACAACCGAUUAACUUGUGAAUCUUCAAGCAGUAAUGAUGACAACACCUGCCUUAAGUUCCAGUUUCCUGAACAUCAUGCCAUGUCUGCUUGAGAUUCUGUCCCACCUGUCUUCAGUCUGGACCCAAUGACUCAGACACCAGUCUUGUCAAGGCUAAAUUUAGAGAGGAUCACCUGAUGGUCCACAUACGAGUCUUCAAGCGGAACUUCCUGAACUUUCUGUCCGGGAGACUAUACCAUGUUGGGUGCCCUCUUCAGUCAAGUCUGGACUCAGCGACUCAUUGCUCUUGAUGAACUCAGGGCAAGUGUCUAAUCUUUUCAUGUUUAUUCAUGGGUUAUCCUUCAUGUCCACAUACUGUUUCUUCAAGAUCUCCACAAUGCUUUGUGAGUAUACAGUACAUGUUAUUGGAUCAGUUCAACCUGUUUUUUCACAGAGAAUGUUAGUUUCUUAAGGUUUAUCAACGAUGGUUUGUAUCUUGAUUUACAAAAGGUGUUAUUUGAUAUCCAUCCAUCCAUCCAUUAUCACCCGCUUAUCCGGGGUCGGGUCGCGGUAUCAGCAGGUUCAGCAGGCCGACCCAGGCUUCCCU